UUUUCGGAGAGUUUGAUCCUGGCUCAGGACGAACGCUGGCGGCGUGCCUAAUACAUGCAAGUCGAGCGGACAGAAGGGAGCUUGCUCCCGGAUGUUAGCGGCGGACGGGUGAGUAACACGUGGGUAACCUGCCUGUAAGACUGGGAUAACUCCGGGAAACCGGAGCUAAUACCG
rnacentral:rRNA from 1 species